rnacentral:rRNA from 1 species
AUGGGGAGCGAACAGGAUUAGAUCCCCUGGUAGUCCAUGCCGUAAACGGUGGGCGCUAGGUGUGAGGGUCUUUUCACGACUUUCGUGCCGUAGCUAACGCAUUAAGCGCCCCGCCUGGGGAGUACGGCCGCAAGGCUAAAACUCAAAGGAAUUGACGGGGCCCCGCACAAGCGGCGGAGCAUGCGGAUUAAUUCGAUGCAACGCGUAGAACCUUACCUGGGUUUGACAUGGAUCGGGAGUGCUCAGAGAUGGGUGUGCCUCUUUUGGGGUCGGUUCACAGGUGGUGCAUGGCUGUCGUCAGCUCGUGUCGUGAGAUGUUGGGUUAAGUCCCGCAACGAGCGCAACCCUUGUUCACUGUUGCCAGCACGUUAUGGUGGGGACUCAGUGGAGACCGCCGGGGUCAACUCGGAGGAAGGUGGGGAUGACGUCAAGUCAUCAUGCCCCUUAUGACCUGGGCUACACACGUGCUACAAUGGCUGGUACAACGAGUCGCAAGCCGGUGACGGCAAGCUAAUCUCUUAAAGCCAGUCUCAGUUCGGAUUGUAGGCUGCAACUCGCCUACAUGAAGUCGGAAUCGCUAGUAAUCGCGGAUCAGCACGCCGCGGUGAAUACGUUCCCGGGCCUUGUACACACCGCCCGUCACACCACGAGAGUUUGUAACACCCGAAGUCGGUGAGGUAACCGUAAGGAGCCAGCCGCCUAAGGUGGGAUAGAUGAUUGGGG